rnacentral:rRNA from 1 species
GAUGAACGCUAGCUACAGGCUUAACACAUGCAAGUCGUAGGGUAACAUGAGGAAAGCUUGCUUUCCUUGAUGACGACUGGCGCACGGGUGAGUAACGCGUAUCCAACCUUCCCAUAACUACGGGAUAACCCGUUGAAAGACGGCCUAAUACCGUAUGAUAUCGUUUGCUGACAUCAAAUAACGAUUAAAGGUUUAGCGGUUAUGGAUGGGGAUGCGUCUGAUUAGCUUGUUGGCGGGGUAACGGCCCACCAAGGCGACGAUCAGUAGGGGUUCUGAGAGGAAGGUCCCCCACAUUGGAACUGAGACACGGUCCAAACUCCUACGGGAGGCAGCAGUGAGGAAUAUUGGUCAAUGGGCGAGAGCCUGAACCAGCCAAGUAGCGUGCAGGAUGACGGCCCUAUGGGUUGUAAACUGCUUUUAUGUGGGGAUAAAGUGCGUGACGUGUCAUGCAUUGCAGGUACCACAUGAAUAAGGACCGGCUAAUUCCGUG